rnacentral:misc_RNA from 1 species
CAAGGGCGACCGGGCUUUGACUUCAACUCAAGGUGAACUCGCUCAUGCACUGCGAUUUUUAGCAUCUGUUGUGUCUCAAAGCUUUUUAGCUUUUGGUGACAUUCUUGAGCUCCACAAAAAAUUUGUUGAGCUUUCUGGUGGUAUCAAUAGAAUUUUUGAGCUGGAAGAGUUUCUAGAUGCUGCUCAAUAUGAUGUACCUGAAGGUGUUAGUUCAUCGCCAUCCUCUGAGGAUGUAAUUUCUUUCUCUGAAGUGGACAUCAUUACACCAGGACAAAAAGUCUUGGCUAGGAAGCUAACAUGUGAUAUAGUGAAGGGGAAAAGCCUUCUUGUAACUGGCCCUAAUGGAAGUGGAAAGAGUUCAAUCUUCAGAGUCCUUCGUGGUUUAUGGCCAGUCGUGAGUGGAAAUCUAGUUAAACCAGGCCAACCGCUUAACUCAGAAUUAGGCAGUGGCAUCUUCUAUGUACCCCAACGACCAUAUACGUGCUUAGGAACUCUAAGGGAUCAAAUUACAUAUCCUCUCUCACAUGAAGUGGCUGAGAAAAGGGUACAGGCUAUGCGAGAAGGUCUGAGACAUCUAGGGUCUUCUAACAUUUUGGAUUCUCAUCUGCAAUCAAUUCUCGAGGAUGUUAAAUUAGUCUACCUUUUAGAAAGAGAAGGUGGCUGGGAUGCCAACCAGAACUGGGAGGACAUCCUAUCUCUUGGAGAACAACAACGAUUAGGAAUGGCACGCUUAUUUUUUCACAAGCCACGGUUUGGAAUCCUUGACGAAUGUACAAAUGCUACUAGUGUUGAUGUUGAAGAACACCUGUAUAGGCUUGCUAAGGAUGCUGGCAUUACUGUUGUUACAUCCUCACAGCGCCCUGCUUUAAUACCUUUCCAUUCUGUGGAAUUACGGUUGAUUGAUGGUGAAGGCAAGUGGCAGCUGCGUUCAAUUAAGAUGGAUGAGGAGGGGGAAGACGAACCAAAUGAAUACACACAACAAUUGUGAGUACGAUGAUGUAUUCCAAUGUUGUGAAAACGUUCAUAGAGCCAAAAAUAAUGAAUGAAUUAUGAAUGUAAUAGUUUGCAGUUAGAUUGAGGGUAGGAAACUAUAUAGUUAGGGUAUACAAAAACUAUUUUAAGUUGUUUCUUGUAAUAUUUCAUAUAGUUAACUGUGUAUAGCGCCUAGUUCCCGUCGUUGUAAAAGGUUUAGGCAUAAUCUUUCCGGUCAGCUCUCCGUGAAUAAAAAUGGCAGGUAGAAAAGGAGGCAGACAGAUUAAUUUACUUAUAUUAUCUUCUACAUUUUACAAUGUAUUUUGAUGAUAUUUUUUCUGUUUAAAUAUACCAAAAAUUUAAUGGAG